CAUGUCCUUUUGAUAAUAAAAUUUAAGGUCUAACCUGCCCAAUGAUUAAGUAUUAAAUGGCCGCGGUACUUUGACCGUGCAAAGGUAGCAUAAUCAUUAGUUUUUUAAUUGAAAGCUGGAAUGAAGGGUUGAAUGAGAAAGUAACUGUCUCUAUUAUAUUUAAUUAAAACUUUAUUUUUAAGUUAAAAAGCUUAAAUUAAAUUUAUAGACGAGAAGACCCUUUAGAGUUUUAUAAAAACUUUACUUAAAAUUUUUUAGAAUUAAUUUAAUUUUAAAUUAGUUAUUUAUUUGAUUGGGGUGAUUGAAAAAUUUAAAAAACUUUUUUUUUUAUUUUACAUUUAUAUAUGAAUAAUUGAUCCAUUUAUUAUGAUUAUAAGAUUAAAUUACCUAAGGGAUAACAGCGUUAUUUUUUUUGAGAGUUCUAAUCGAAAAAAAAGUUUGCGACCUCGAUGUUGGAUUAAAAUUAAAUUAUGGUGUAGAGGCUAUAACCGCA
rnacentral:rRNA from 1 species